GAGCGGCGGACGGGUGAGUAAUGCCUAUGAAUCUGCCUGGUAGUGGGGGAUAACGUUCGGAAACGGACGCUAAUACCGCAUACGUCCUACGGGAGAAAGCAGGGGACCUUCGGGCCUUGCGCUAUCAGAUGAGCCUAGGUCGGAUUAGCUGUUGGUGGGGUAAUGGCUCACCAAGGCGACGAUCCGUAACUGGUCUGAGAGGAUGAUCAGUCACACUGGAACUGAGACACGGUCCACACUCCUACGGGAGGCAGCAGUGGGGAAUAUUGGACAAUGGGCGAAAGCCUGAUCCAGCCAUGCCGCGUGUGUGAA
rnacentral:rRNA from 1 species